rnacentral:rRNA from 1 species
GCUAAUCUGUUGCCGGCGUCGUCGGGAAGGCGAGGGGGGCUAGUGUGAAUAGGAAUUACUGGGCGGAAAGCGGGCGUAGGAGGUUCGUUAAUGCUGCUGUGAAAUCCCCGGGUUCAAGCUGGGAAUGGCAGUGGAUACUGGGGAGCUAGAGUGGGAUAGAGGAUGGUGGAAUUCCCGGUGUAGCGGUGAAAUGCGUAGAGAUCGGGAGGAACAUCAGUGGCGAAGGCGGCCAUCUGGAUCAACACUGACGCUGAGGCACGAAAGCGUGGGGAGCAAACAGGAUUAGAUACCCCGGUAGUC